rnacentral:rRNA from 1 species
AGAGUUUGAUCCUGGCUCAGAUUGAACGCUGGCGGCGUGCUUAACACAUGCAAGUCGAACGAGAAAGGGACUUCGGUCCUGAGUAGAGUGGCGCACGGGUGAGUAACGCGUAGGUAAUCUACCUCUGCAUCUGGGAUAACACUUCGAAAGGGGUGCUAAUACCGGAUACACUUAUGGAUCGCGAGAUUUAUAAGGAAAGGAGACCUCUCCUUGGAAGUUUCUGUGUAGAGAUGAGCCUGCGUCCCAUUAGCUAGUUGGUCGGGUAAUGGCCUACCAAGGCGACGAUGGGUAGCGGGUCUGAGAGGAUGAUCCGCCACACUGGAACUGAAACACGGACCAGACUCCUACGGGAGGCAGCAGUGAGGAAUAUUGCGCAAUGGGGGAAACCCUGACGCAGCGACGCCGCGUGGGUGAUGAAGGCCUUCGGGUUGUAAAGCCCUGUCAGGUGGGAAGAAGUGCAUUAUGGCUAAUAUCCAUAGUGUUUGACGGUACCACCAAAGGAAGCACCGGCUAACUCCGUGCCAGCAGCCGCGGUAAUAC